CCUACGGGAGGCAGCAGUGAGGAAUAUUGGUCAAUGGGCGCGAGCCUGAACCAGCGAAGUAGCGUGAAGGAUGACUGCCCUACGGGUUGUAAACUUCUUUUAUAAAGGAAUAAAGUGAGGCACGUGUGCCUUUUUGUAUGUACUUUAUGAAUAAGGAUCGGCUAACUCCGUGCCAGCAGCCGCGGUAAUACGGAGGGUCCGAGCGUUAUCCGGAUUGAUUGUGUUUAAAGGGAGCGUAGAUGGGUUGUUAAGUCAGUUGUGAAAGUUUGCGGCUAAACCGUAAAAUUGCAAUUGAUACUGGCAGCCUUGAGUACAGUUGAGGUAAGCGGAAUUCGUGGUGUAGCAGUGAAAUGCUUAGAUAUCACGAAGAACUCCGAUUGCGAAGGCAGCCUACUAAACUGCCACUGACAUUGAUGCUCGAAAGUGUGGGUAUCAAACAGGAUUAGAUACCCGAGUAGUC
rnacentral:rRNA from 1 species